CCUACGGGUGGCAGCAGUGGGGAAUAUUGCGCAAUGGGGGAAACCCUGACGCAGCAACGCCGCGUGAGUGAAGACGUAUCUCGGUAUGUAAAGCUCUAUCAGCGGGGAAGAAGGAAGACGGUACCCGACUAAGACUCCCCGGCUAACUACGUGACAGCAGCCGCGGUAAUACGUAGGGGGCGAGCGUUAUCCGGAUUUACUGGGUGUAAAGGGCGCGUAGACGGCGUCGUACGUCUGAAGUGACAGCCCGUGGCUCAACCGCGGAACCGCUUUGGAAACUGCGUGGCUGGAGUGCUGGAGAGGUAAGCGGAAUUCCUGGUGUAGCGGUGAAAUGCGUAGAUAUCAGGAGGAACACCGGUGGCGAAGGCGGCUUACUGGACAGUGACUGACGUUGAGGCUCGAAAGCGUGGGGAGCGAACAGGAUUAGAUACCCUUGUAGUC
rnacentral:rRNA from 1 species